UACAGAGGUCCCAAGCGUUGUUCGGAUUCAUUGGGCGUAAAGGGUGUGUAGGUGGCGCCGUAAGUCGGGUGUGAAAUUUCGGAGCUUAACUCCGAAACUGCAUUCGAUACUGCGGUGCUUGAGGACUGGAGAGGAGACUGGAAUUCAUGGUGUAGCAGUGAAAUGCGUAGAGAUCAUGAGGAAGACCAGUGGCGAAGGCGGGUCUCUGGACAGUUCCUGACGCUGAGACACGAAGGCCAGGGGAGCAAACGGG
rnacentral:rRNA from 1 species